rnacentral:rRNA from 1 species
UACCGGGCGACCGGAUGCGGAUCUCGAAAGCCUGUCCCAGUUCGGACUGGAGUCUGCAACCCGACUCCACGAAGUUGGAUUCGCUAGUAAUCGCGCAUCAGCCAUGGCGCGGUGAAUACGUUCCCGGGCCUUGUACACACCGCCCGUCAAGCCAUGGAAGCCGGGAGUGCCUGAAGUGCGUGACCGCAAGGAGCGUCCUAAGGCAAUACCGGUGACUGGGGCUAAGUCGUAACAAGGUACC